GAUCAAAAGCCAAAGGUCUGAGAUUGGCUGCCGGCCCCCCCUCCCAACCUCCCCCCUCCCCAGUGGAGACUAUCCACCUCUCUCCGUUUCCACUGGUCCUUCCCUUCCCACGUGAAGCUGAGAGAGAGAGAGAGAGAGAGAGAGAGACGCGAGCGGCGGAGGAGAGGGGGGGGCGACGCGCUGGGCAAGGAAAGCCACCCCCACCACCCAAUCCCGCAUCUUCGCUCCCGUCUUAUUUCUCGCCCGCCCCAGCCUGGCCGUGCCGCAGUCGCUCUUUCGCUCCGGAUCAAGUCUCCUCGGGAGUUGCCGCCUCGCCAGCAUCUCCCCCCCACACCAUGAUCACCCCACCGCCGCAUCAGGAGACCAGCGAGCCCGUCGACCCCUUCAGUUAUGAUUAUGAUACAUUGCGCUUGGUGGGGAUGGUCCUGGCCUGCAUCAUGUUUGUGCUGGGAAUCUUGAUAGCACUGAGUAAAAAAUUCAGAUGCAAAAAAUCGGACCCUGGAAUGUCAGAUCCCAGGGCGACAGGGAAG